CCUACGGGAGGCAGCAGUAAGGAAUAUUGGACAAUGGUCGCAAGACUGAUCCAGCCAUGCCGCGUGCAGGAUGACAGCCCUAUGGGUCGUAAACUGCUUUUGUGCGAGAAAAAACCCCCUCUACGUGUAGAGGGCUGAUUGUAUCGUAAGAAUAAGGAUCGGCUAACUCCGUGCCAGCAGCCGCGGUAAUACGGAGGAUCCAAGCGUUAUCCGGAUUCAUUGGGUUUAAAGGGUGCGUAGGCGGAAUGAUAAGUCAGUGGUGAAAGCCUGCAGCUUAACUGCAGAACUGCCAUUGAUACUGUCAAUCUUGAGUACAUUUGAUGUGGCGGAAUGUGUCAUGUAGCGGUGAAAUGCUUAGAUAUGACACAGAACACCGAUUGCGAAGGCAGCUCACAAAACCUGUAACUGACGCUGAGGCACGAAAGCGUGGGUAUCAAACAGGAUUAGAUACCCUGGUAGUCCCACGCUAGUAACUAUAUAUUACUCGUAGUGUUGUCGAUACUAC
rnacentral:rRNA from 1 species